rfam:Penicillium subrubescens strain CBS 132785 PENSTBscaffold_205, whole genome shotgun sequence.
UCGUAUGAUGAUCAUCCUGAUAGGGACAGCUUAUGCAAAAGCAAGUGAUGUCACCAGGCGAGAGAUUUUAGUAGAUGCUUCUCGGUUUUCUGAUG